GGGGCGGUAGCUCAGUUGGUCAGAGCUGCGGACUUUUAAUCCGUAGGCCGUGGGUUCGAGCCCCACCCGCCCCA
rnacentral:tRNA from 1 species